rnacentral:lncRNA from 1 species
AAGCUUUUGUGUAUGCAAAUAAGCUCGCGGUGCCUGUCGGCGCUCCCGCCUCUCCACCAGGGUCGGGGUGGACCCUGGAGUCGCUGAGGUCUUUCUGUGGGGCGCCAUUUUGUGCAGGAAGUGACCUGGCACACGUCUGCGUUGAGAAGGCCCAAGUAGCCCGAAGGCUUGGACCGCUGGCCCCGCGCUGUGUGACCUCGUCCUGCCCAGCUCCGUUUCCUUACGUGGCCAGUGGGAUCUGGGAUCCCUAGGGAUGGCAGCGAAGGGCGGAGAGCCCAGGGCCUUCUCUGGAACUCGCUGUGCCUCCUGGGAAGCACAGCUGCGGCCUCCUGUCAGUCAGGUGGACGAGGCCCGGGCUCCAGGGCUGGCCUUCCGGAGGUGCAGGGGGAGCUGCCCACCUCGGGCAUCUGUGCAGGUCUGCACAUCCUCGCACCCUGGGGCACCCACAGCAGUCCCUAGUUUGCUGGCCUUCCCAGCCAUGGGCAGGGCCAGCAAUAUUCGGGCCUAGCCUGGCCACCAGCUUUGCCUCAGGGGCAGUCUUCCUGGAAAAGGAAGGAGGGACGUUUAAGAGAGACCUGCGGCAGAGCAGCAACCUGUGACCAUUUCGUGGAGAACUGGCCACACGUGGGCAUCUCACACGCCUGAUCACCCGGUUUAGUCAGCUGGGUGCAUGAUUCCUCCCCAUUUAACAGGCAAGGAAACUGAGGGAGUUGGAGGCCACCCCCAACCUGGGACCAGGUGGAGCUAGUGGUCAUCCUGGUGACACUAAAGGUUAAUAUUAUGUGGGUGCUGUGUGCCAGGCACCCUUCUAAUUUCUUCAUACACUUGGUCUCUUGAAUCUUGGCAGGUGGAUUUCAUGAUUAUCUCUGGAGGCCUGCAUUCAUUCACCUGCCAUGUGUCUGCAAGAAGCCGAAGGGACCCAGCAGAAAGUAAAAGGGACAAGACCUGGGCUAUCAUGGGCGAGCCAGACAGUGAGACGUAGGUCCUCAGGUGUCAUGGCAGUGAAUGAUGAAGACUAGGACCGUAGGUCAGAGUGGGGUUAGGGUUAGGGUUAGGGUUAGGGUUAGGUCUUGCCUUGGCUGUGCAGGGAAGGGCUCCCUGAGGAAUGACCUUCAGGGCUGUGGGGAGGUAUAUAGGAGAAGCAUUUUGAACUCAGGACCUGCCGUGCAAAGGCCUGGUGAGGGGGAUCUUGCUGAGUGCUUGGGGAACCAGCAGAAGGCCAUCAAGGCUGGGCAGGAGUGAUCAUGGGUUCUUGCCCAGGCUUGAGGUCAGGGGAAGAAGUUGAUUUAUCCUGCAGGGCCUCCUGGGCCAUGGUGUCUGUUUUGUUUCUUCUUGGAGCAUUGGAGCCACUGGGGAGCGCGACAUGCCUCCAUCUCCCUUGUGGGCAGAAACAAGGAGGCCAGUAAGCAUGUGUGAUGGUCCAGGUGGAGAUGGUGGCUCCAGUAGGACUGGUGGCAGUGGGAUGGGAAAAGGAAUGGGACUCCACAGGGAAUGCCAACAGGAACUGGUGUCGAUUUGACGUGGGAUGAGGGAGAGGGAAACGGUCACCUGCACCCUGAAUCUUCAUCAUAAAUUUGGACUGGUGACCUUCCCUGUAAAGGUUCUUGGACCUUGUGACCCUUUGGGCUUGGUGCCAGCCUACUCACCUCUGCCAUCACAGCUCUAGACAGUGGAUGGGUGUGGCUGUGUGCCUACAAAGCUGUUUCUGAGAACAAGUGGCAGGCAUAGGUGGCCCUCAGGCUGUGUUUUCCCCGCCCAGCUUUAAACCACAAAGCUGGGGUGCCCCACUCCUGAUUAAAAAAAAAAAACAAAAAAAACCUCAAGGGCCCUCCUCUCCACUAUGUGUUGGAUACCCCAAUCCUGCAGGGCCUAUGAGCUCUUUUGCAUGAGGCACUGGGUUCGAUCCUCAGCACCACAUAAAAACAAAACAAAGAUAUUGUGUCCACCUAAACUAAAAAGUUUUUUAAAAAAGAAUUGCAGUUAUUUACUUGUUUCCCUCAACUAGAAGAUCAGUGCCAGGGGAGCAGGGUUCUUGGUAGGGCCUCCACCCCUAGCAGAAUGCUGGACAAAUUGAAAGCGUUGACCCAUUCGGUGAGUGUUUAUUGAGCACCUGCUGUGUGUCAGGCACCAAUCUGGAUGCAGACGAGGAUGCUAUGGGCUUGUUGGAGUGAGGGAAGACACACGCAAAGGCAGAACAAGGAGUGCAGACAGGGUCACUCGCCACAUAGCACCAUCGUGGUCAGUAAUGGACUGUGUACUUAUGGUGGUGGUUCCUCAAGAUUGGAUUGGAACUAAAGAAACCUAUGGCCUAGUGUUUUUACUUCACAUUGUAUAUGUUUAGAUACACAGACACCACGGUUAUAGUUGCCUGCCGUACUUAGUGUGGUCAUGUGCUGCGUGGCUGCAGCUGUGGAGGGUAGGCCUACCUCAUGUCCUAGGUAUGCAGGGGCCUGCCCAUCUUACAUCCUACGUCAUUAUGUAAGUAAAGGCAGAGUGUUUGCCAAAUGACACUGAUCUCAGAUCUUGUUCGGUGACUCGUGACUGAAUGUGGUUGAGAAGGCAGUGUCAUGGAAAUGACGAGUAGAGUAGGGGAAAAGGGCCUGGGGUGCCAGGCUGCGUGGUGGUGAAUUGAAAGUGGGGAGGUCAGGGCAGGCCUCCUGAACAGGUGUCAACGGGACCCAAGUUUGAAGGAGUUGAGCUAUACAGGUAUCAGAGGAAGGACAUUCCCAUCAGUGGGAACACAGGUCUCGCGUACCUCAGGAGCUUCCCAGAGGCAGGUGGGCUG